UUAAGGUGAAACCGCGAAAGGCUCAUUAAAUCAGUUAUGGUUCCUUAGAUCGUACCCACAAUUACUUGGAUAACUGUGGUAAUUCUAGAGCUAAUACAUGCAAACAGAGCUCCGACCGGAGACGGAAGGAGUGCUUUUAUUAGAUCAAAACCAAUCGGUGGCGGGUUCGCCCGUUAUCGUACAACUUGGUGACUCUGAAUAACUUUACGCUGAUCGCACGGUCAUCGCACCGGCGACGCAUCUUUCAAAUGUCUGCCUUAUCAACUGUCGAUGGUAGGUUCUGCGCCUACCAUGGUUGUAACGGGUAACGGGGAAUCAGGGUUCGAUUCCGGAGAGGGAGCCUGAGAAACGGCUACCACAUCCAAGGAAGGCAGCAGGCGCGCAAAUUACCCACUCCCGGCACGGGGAGGUAGUGACGAAAAAUAACGAUACGGGACUCAUCCGAGGCCCCGUAAUCGGAAUGAGUACACUCUAAACCCUUUAACGAGGAUCAAUUGGAGGGCAAGUCUGGUGC
rnacentral:rRNA from 1 species